rfam:Streptomyces sp. NRRL F-6602 F6602contig53.1, whole genome shotgun sequence.
CUUCACCGAACCCAGCCACAGCGGCCGGUCCCCCGUCCGGUCCUGGCCAUACGUGGCCAACAGCGCCUGCGCCUC